CCAACCCCCCAGAAGCCUCGGGAUUGCAGCUGUUUCAUGUGGGGCAGCAGUGCUGGCAGGGACGCCGGCCGGGAGCGGCCGGGAGCGGGAGCCGGGCGUGCGCGCGCGGCUGGAGGCUCGCUGGGGCUCCGCUCCUCUCGGGAGCUAUUGUUGGUCUCGCUGGAGCUGAGCGCAGAGCCGGGACCCUCUCCUUCCUGGGCGCCCUGCUCGGGCUCGCGGAGCCGAGGAGCCGCGCCGCCGAGCGCCAGAGGAGCCACCGGCGCGGCGCCGUGCCUCCCUGCCGCCCUCCUCCCCGCUUCCCCGGCGGUGGCAGCCUGCAGCCACGAUGGAAAAGCUGAGACUCAGAGAGGGCUAGUGAUCUCCUGGACACUCGGUCAGUAGAAAGGAUCCCGCCCUGUCCUCCAGGAUCCCAUGGCCCUGGAGAGAGGGCUGCAGGGCCCAGGGACACUGCUGACUCUUCAGAACGUGCUGACAUGGAGCCAGGUCAGUCCCCUUGUCUGCUCUGAUUUUCUGUGUCAUCAACUGCAAAGCUGUGGUCUUAAUGAGAAGUGCCAUCUUGGAAUCUGAAAUCGUGCAUGCUUUUUGGUUGAAGGCUUUUGCCACUAAGCAGCAUGGCAAGUAGAGGAGGUCAGCCCAAAGUGGAGGUGGCCUUCUCAGGGAGCAGAUACAGUAAGAGGAGUGCUGGGUGCUGGAAGCCAAGCCAACAGCCGGCACAGUGGGCAGUGGCAGGCAGGGCCCAGGCAUCCAGGUGGGAUGUGACGUGGGAGCUGGUGGCCAGGAAGCACCACGCAGGUCCAGGACCGCAGAGGCAACAGUAGCCGUCGGGAUCAUUCUGGGAUCCAGGAGAUCAGAGCUUGUGUCCAGAGUCUGAUGGUCACGUUUUGAGCUUAGCUGGGGUGGGAUCAGAGGCACAGUUGAGAGUGGGGCAGGAGGAGGUAAGUGGGUGGCUACUGGGACAGGUGGGCUGGAGGCCAGGUCCAGCCAGCCAGAGUGGCUCUCUGGAGGCUUUUCUUUAUAUUGCUGUGCAGAGGAACAAUGGAAAAAAUGGUACAAAACACCUGGGUUGCAUCAGAAAAGCAGGAGGAUGUUUCUAGCUAGAGAAAGUCGAAUCAUGAUGGAGGCUAGGUCAUGGUGAAGAAGGCUGAAGAAGCAGAGGAGCCAGGACGCAGGGAGUAAGCACCUUACUGAAAACCUACUAUGAACCGAACACGAUCUCUUAUCCUCCCAGCAGGCUUGCAGGGUGGACGCGGAGUCUCACUAGGCUUAGUUAUGCUCCAUGAGCAAGUGUAUUUCCUGCUCAUGCUACAUGUCUGACCAAGGGACGUAGAGGACUGUGCUCUACCUAGUGACUCGAGCCAGGCUGAUGAGAGCUCUGCUGUGUUUUGGGUACAACCUGCAGCCACCUUGGUCUCUGUAGCACAAGAAGAGAACCAGAAGAUUGAGCACUGGCCCUUAAAUGCUUUGGUCCAGAAGUGUCACACGGCCUAUGGGCCAGAAUGAGUCACAGGGUCCAGCCUGACUCCUCGGGCUCUGGGAAAUGUGGGGAAAAUACGGUUAUUUGAUGAGCAAUGAUAACUGCUUCUGCCACCGUAGAUAUUAUUUCUGUUUUACGGGCCAGAAAAUUGAGGCUCAGAGAAAUUAACUGUAUUGUCUGAGGUCUUCCAGCUAAAAAGUGCUGAAGC